UACAGAGGUCUCAAGCGUUGUUCGGACUCAUUGGGCGUAAAGGGCGCGCAGGCGGCUACGCACGUCCGUUGUGAAAUCGCUCGGCUCAACUGGGCGGGGUCAGCGGAUACGGCGUAGCUGGAGCAAGCUAGGGGGCAAUGGAAUUCCCGGUGUAGUGGUGGAAUGCGUAGAUAUCUGAAGGAACAUCAGUGGCGAAAGCGACUUCCUGGACGAAUACUGACGCUCAUGUGCGAAAGCGUGGGGAGCAAACAGG
rnacentral:rRNA from 1 species